rnacentral:rRNA from 1 species
UCCCUAUGGGGUGCAGCAGGCGCGAAACCUCCACAAUGCGCGAAAGCGUGAUGGGGUUAGCCCGAGUGCCGUCCGAAAAGGAUGGCUUUUCCUUGGUGUAAAAACCCAGGGGAAUAAAGGGGGGGCAAGACUGGUGUCAGCCGCCGCGGUAAUACCAGCCCCCUGAGUGGUAAGGACGAUUAUUUGGCUUAAAGCGUCCGUAGCCGGCUUAGUGAGUCUUUUGUUAAAUCCAAUGAUUCAAUCAUUGAACUGCAAGAGAUACUGCUACGCUAGAGGACGGGAGAGGUCGACGGUAGUCCAGGGGUAGGGGUGAAAUCCUAUAAUCCUUGGAGGACCACCAGUGGCGAAGGCGGUCGACUAGAACGUGCCUGACGGUGGGGGACGAAAGCUGGGGGAGCGAACCGGAUUAGAUACCCGGGUAGUCCCAGCUGUAAACGAUGCGGGCUAGGUGUAGGGGCAGCUACGAGCUGCUCCUGUGCCGCAGAGAAAUUGUUAAGCCCGCCGCCUGGGGAGUACGAUCGCAAGAUUGAAACUUAAAGGAAUUGGCGGGGGAGCACCGCAAGGGGUGAAGCUUGCGGUUUAAUUGGAUUCAACGCCGGAA